AUGGUACUCUUAAGUCUAUCAAACAUCGGGAUUUUGAGGGUUUUCAUCUUGUGUGUGUGUGUGUUUCUGGCAGAUUGGGGUGGAGGGGACAUUACAUAUAGUCCUGUUUCUGGUUUUAAGAUGUGCUAAUGAUAAACCUAGUGAUUGAUUCAGUUCAGUGGGAAACUACAGCUCCUUUAUUAUGAUAAUUUAUACAGUCAUUAAAAUGGGAAGCAUGGAUUUUUCUUUUAAUUGUAGAGGAGCUAUAGAAAGAUGUCUUGUUCACUUCUCAUAGGAAGUGCUGAGCAAAACCAUACAAUGGGAAAAGCAUACCCUGGUCAUGCAUUUUGAUCUGGAACAAUAAAGCAGGGCUCAAGUUCCUUUUGGAAGGUCAGUCUAGGUUUAAAGCAGUAUUUAUAUUCUCAUUCUGCAACAUUUUUACUGUUUUCACCCUAAAAGUCUUCAGAAGUGAUUUUUGAAAACACUUUAACAUAGUACCUCGAUAUGCCGAGGAGAGAUUUAACUCAAAGUUCUCUUGGCCAGUGGGCUCGCAUUUAUCAGGGACCUGUUGGCCAUAGACCUCCUCUUUUCUACUGUUUCUCCAGUCAAUUGCAGAUACUGCUGCUGGAUCUCCUCAAGGUCCAGUUAUAUUCCUCAUGCCCAUAAAAACAGAAACACUCUGAGUCUCUACUGUUUACCAACUGCAAAGUGAACAGCAAAUUCUAGAAUUCAACUCUUUACCCAAAGGUGAUACCUUAAUACUUCCUUGUCUCGUUUCCCUUUCUUUACCAUAUCUUUUGUAUCACACAAGCUAGGUAUGUAAUCUUCCUAAAUAUACCGCUUAUUUUCUUCUGUCCACAGGAUCUCUUCUCUAGCCCCUUUUUUCCACCUACAGAUGAAGUCUUCAUUAUCCCCACCUCCUUCAGUGCCCAUCUGAAAUGUCAACUCCUUAAUGAAAACUUAUCUCCCUAGUUGAUGCCAUUUUUCUAUUCUAAAUACCCAUUGCCACUUCCUUUGUAUCUCAUUGUAUUUGACCCAUCUUUAUGCUAUUAGUUACUUGUGAAUUUCUUAUCCUUAACAAGACAGAAAAAUCUCAAACAAAGGUGUAUUAAUUUAUAACCAGUAGGAUAUUAUGUA
rnacentral:lncRNA from 1 species